UACAGAGGUCUCAAGCGUUGUUCGGAUUCAUUGGGCGUAAAGGGUGCGUAGGUGGCGCCGUAAGUCGGGGUGUGAAAUUUCGGAGCUUAACUCCGAAACUGCAUUCGAUACUGCGGUGCUUGAGGACUGGAGAGGAGACUGGAAUUUUAUGGUGUAGCAGUGAAAAUGCGUAGAGAUCAUAAGGAAGACCAGUGGCGAAGGCGGGUCUCUGGACAGUUCCUGACACUGAGGCACGAAGGCCAGGGGGAGCAAAACGGGG
rnacentral:rRNA from 1 species